rnacentral:lncRNA from 1 species
AUGGAGUUGAUGCAGAGGGACAGGAUAAUGCCAGUCAUAGGAGUGAGGAGGAGGAAGAGACAGAUGAGAAGGGACAGGAGAAGGAGGAGGAGGAGAUGGAAGAGGAGGAGGAGGAGAAGAAGGAGGAGGAAGAGGAGGAGGAGGAAAGUGGAGCAGGAACCACCAAAGAAAGAGUGCCAGGUGACCCAACACUCAUCAGUGAACAGGACGGUAGACCACUGCUGCAUUGUCCAGGUCACAUGGUCUUGUGACUACUGCAAACGUUCACGUGGUGGCUUGGUGUCAGUGGAGGAGGUGCAACAGUCUGGGCAGGAAUCACCAGUCAGCGCAAAACAGAUUUGGUUAUUGUAGAUGGCUCAGUCACUGCAGGUUCUUACCUCAGAGACAUCUUAGAACCCAUCAUCAUCCCCCAAUUCCGCCAGCACACCCCCAACUUUCUGUUCAUGGACGAUAAUGCUCCACCACAUCGUGCCAGAAUUGUCACAGCUCGACUUCAGGAAGUCGGAGUGCCUCAUAUGGUAUGGCCAGCAAUCCUGACCUGAACCCCAUAGAGCACGUCUGGGACCAGCUGAAGCAGAGACUGGAUGAUCGUACCCCACCCCCACGUGACCUGGCAGAACUGCGUGUAGCACUUGUGGAGGAGUGGAACGCAUUGCCUCAGAACAACAUCAUGAGGUUAGUGAGGAGCAUGAGACGUUGCUGUCAAGCUGUCAUUGCGGCAAAUGGUGGAAACACCCGCUACUGACAUUGUCAAUUUUUGUUAUUUGGGGCUAUCCUUGUUAUUGUCUAAAUUUUUGGGGUAAUAAAUAUUAAACUAAUGAAAAUGAUGUUUCUUCUCAUUCAUUAUUAGUGAUAUCAAAGGGAACUUUUACUAAUUUCAUUAAAAUUCUGACCAAAUAGGAAAAGCACUCAUGUAAAUAACAAUAUCCCUAACUUAUUGUGAGUAGUGUAUAUGUUUUAUAUUGCUGUUGUUGCACAAAAACACCAAUCUGCAUGGCAGUUAGGACAAGUGAUUAUUUCCUCAUUGGAAGCCAUGUAAUAAAAAAAUCACUACACACACAAACGAUAAUUGAAGCCUUUAAUUUAAAUUCGCUAACAGAAAAAAAUGCGGCAAUUUAGUUUUUCCUCAACAACAGCAAUAUGCUGUUCCGUUUAUUUAUCACAUGGCACAUGAUCCUGAUCUACAUGUGUGUGGUGAGAGUUGGACCAAUACCUUUGACAUCAUAAAUGGCUGACAGGGACAAAUGACGCCCCACACGAACAGUUCAUCCACAAAUUCUACAAUAGGAGCUCAUCUGCUCACCUUCAUGUGAGAAGAAAGAGUUGAGUUUGUAUGUCAGUUUAACAUCACGUGAGUGUGUUAGUGCUGCUGUAUUUCAACAUUCUCCAAAACAGCUGAGACUGAGGAAUAUGUUCUAAUGAAGGACCAACACAUAGAAAAUAACCAUAAAUGUA